GCAGGAGGAAGCAGCCGCGCCGCAUGGGGACGAGGCCGGACGAGCUCGCGUCGAGGCUGACGGACAGGAGGGGGCAGGCAGCAGUAGAGCAGAGCAGGCAGCAGCCGCGCCUUCCGGCAUGGGGACUAGGCCGGGGGAGCUCGCGGUGAGGCUGGCGAACUGGAAGGUGGGAGGAGCCAGCGGCACACGAGCACGAGGCGUACAGGACGACCAAGCUCACCCGGCAUUGCCAUCAGGUACGGCAUCGAGGUAAUCUCCGUACCCCUCGCUGUACUAAUCGCUGAAUAUUAUUUGGUUGGUGCUGAGAUGCACACAUGAAACUAUGGGGAUCUGUAGGCGCUAUGUUCUUCCUGCUGAAAUCUGAGAAGGGCUCUAGGCCCAUAUUGCAAUUUCUGAAAAAUCUCUAAGGGCCCAUGUGGGUUAUAUGGCACUAGGUGUGUGGGAAGUUUAGUCCCACCUUGGAAGUGGAAGGAGAGUUGGAGUGGUUUAUAAGGGACUCUCUCCCUCAUGCUAUUGGAGCUUGAGAAGAGAUGAGGCCCUCGCGCACUCCUCCUCCUCCGCUCGCCUCGCCGCGCCGCGGGUUGCGGGAUUGAGCCGAGCCGAGCUCACUCCUAUGCGCUUCUUUUUGCCGGUCAGGAACGGAGAGUCUUUGACAGGUGGGGCCACGAUCUGAGACGUCGGAUCGUGGGCUACCGAUUUGGAUGUGGGUUCAGCCCACGUCUCUCCACGCGCGGCCGCACAUAUAUAUGUGAGGCGCUGCCAACCCUAGCCGUCACAAAACAGAACGCAUCUCCGCCUCCACGCCCACGUCGUUCCUCUGCUGCUGCUGCCGCCGGCGACUCCGUCCCGUUCACCGCAUACACGGUUGACGGGAGAGCAGGCCUCCGAAACCACGCCUCUCCGGAUCCUGUACGGGGAGAGGGGCGAUUAGGUUUUUGGGUAGCGACUACGCGACUGCUCGCUUCUGUUCAUCUACGUCCGCAUCACCUUCAUCAUCACCAUGUCGACCGACACCGACCGUGCCGCCGCUGAGAAAGCCGAGGCCGACAAGAAGGCCGCCGAGGAUGCCGCGGCUGCUGUCACCGCCACCGCCACCGCGUGGCCGAUUGGAGGGUAUACAUCGCUUAUCCCUCUCGUGUUUCUUUCUGUUGUAGCAGUACUAGCCGUAUGCGUAGAUGUCUCUACUAUAUGCGUAGUACAUGCUCUGUUAGAUCAUAAUCAGUAUGUUAUCAAUGCUGUCCAUGUCAUGCUCAUGAUUUAUUCAUGGAUUAAUUUAAUCGAAAAACUGCCUAUUUUCUCAUCAAUCCAAAAACCUAAGAUCUGUAGGAGUUUUUCGAAUUCUGAUUUUGCUGCUGCACUGAAACCGUCCCCGUUUACGGGGACGUACUUUAAGCGUUGGCAGACUAAAACCACCUUAUGGCUCACGGCCAUGAACGUGUUCUGGGUCGCCGGUGUGACUCCUACAGGAACGAUCGCUCCUGAACAGGAGAAGGCGUUUAAGGAGGCCACCGUGGUGUUCCUCGGGGCAGUUCUGAGCGUGAUUGGAGAUAAGCUGGUUGAUGCAUAUUUACAUAUGCGGUCUGCCAAGGACUUGUGGGAGGCGCUCGAAUCUAAGUUCGGGGCUGCCGAUGCAGGGAGCGAGAUGUAUAUUAUAGAGCAGUUCCACGAUUACAAGAUGGUUGAAAACCGUCCUGUAUUGGAGCAGGCUCAUGAGAUAAUAUGCAUUGUUAAGGAGCUUGAGCUUCUUAAGUGCGAGUUACCGGGCAAAUUUGUCGCGGGCUGCAUAAUCGCUAAGCUCCCCAAUUCCUGGAGGAACUUUGCCACCACUCUGAAACAUCAGAGGCGUGAAUUCUCUGUGGAGGAUGUCAUUGGCCAUCUGAGUGUUGAGCAGAACUCAAGGGCAAAGGACUCGCACGGAAAAGGGGUCGAAGGAACUUCUGUGGCCAAUAUGGUGCAUCAGAAGAACUCCAAUUCCCACAAGCCCAGGGGAAAGAACGGUGUCCAACAGACUGCCGACUUUAAGAAGAAGGGUAAGAAGACCUUCAAGAAGAACAAGAAGGAUGAGGGCUGCUUUACUUGUGGUUCGGCUGAACAUUGGGGCAACAAGUGCCCAAACAAGUUUAAGAAGUCAGGACAGGACUCCAAGUCUGUCAACAUGAUUGUGAGCAACAAUGAGAAUGGUGCAUCUGGGUACGGUAAUUUAUUUACUGUUUUUUCAGUGUUUCAGCCUACCGAUUGGUGGGUGGAUACAGGUGCAGGUGUUCAUGUGUGUGCUGACAUUUCAUUGUUCUCUUCUUACCAGGUCACAGGCCACGGGUCCGUAUUGAUGGGGAAUGGCGCGAGUGCUUCUGUUCAUGGUGUUGGCACGGUCGAUCUGAAGUUUACUUCGGGAAGGAUCGUGCAGCUGAAGAACGUGCAGCAUGUCCCCGCCAUCAAGAAGAACCUCGUUAGUGGCUCCCUUCUAUGUAGAGAAGGGUUUAAGUUGGUAUUCGAGUCUAAUAAAUUAGUUGUUAUUAAGUAUGGACUAUUUGUUGGAAAAGGUUAUGAGAGCGGAGGGAUGUUCCGCCUUUCCCUCGCAGAUUUCUGUAAUAAAGUCGUGAACCAUAUUCAUUCGAGUAUUAAUGAAUCUGAGGUUUGGCACUCACGUCUUUGUCACAUAAGUUUUGGUGUUAUGACGCGGCUAGCCAAGUUGGAUUUAAUCCCGAGUUUCACUUUAGCCAAAGGUUCUAAGUGCCUUUCAUGUGUGCAAGCUAAGCAACCUCGCAAGCCUCAUAAGGCCGCGGAGGAGAGACACCUGGCACCAUUAGAACUCAUACAUUCUGAUCUUUGUGAGAUGAAUGGUGUAUUGACUAAAGGUGGAAAGAGAUACUUCAUGACAUUGAUAGAUGAUUCCACUAGAUAUUGCUAUGUUUAUCUGUUAAAUACUAAGGAUGAGGCUCUACGCUACUUUAAAAUCUAUAAGGCAGAAGUUGAGAAUCAACUUGAAAAGAAAAUUAAACGAGUCCGGUCAGACCGUGGUGGAGAGUACUUCUCGAGUGAGUUUGACUCCUUCUGUUCGGAACAUGGCAUUAUUCAUGAGAGGACGCCUCCCUAUUCACCCCAGUCAAAUGGGGUUGCCGAGCGGAAAAACCGUACUCUAACUGAUUUGGUUAACGCCAUGUUAGAUACAUCGGGUUUAUCCAAGGCAUGGUGGGGGGAGGCUAUAUUGACGGCAUGUCAUGUCCUGAAUAAAGUUCCGACAAAGGAUAAUGAGAUCACUCCCUAUGAGAAAUGGGCAAAGAAAAGGACGACACUCUCGUACCUGCGCACUUGGGGCUGUUUGGCGAAGGUCAACGUGCCGAUCCCCAAAAAGCGUAAGCUUGGACCCAAGACUGUGGACUGCGUUAAUUUGGGCUACGCUAAGAACAGCGUUGGCUAUAGAUUUCUAGUAGUGAAAUCUGAGGUACCUGACCAGAAGGUCGGUACAAUUAUGGAGUCUAAGGAUGCUACAUUCUUCGAGGAUAUUUUUCCUAUGAGAGAUAUGCAAAGCACUUCUAGACAGGAAUCUGAGGAGACUCCUGAACCUGCCAUCCCUAUGGAAUAUUAUGAACAAACACAUGAUGAAAAUCCUGAGGAGGAUGACGAGGAAACCCUUGGUAGGGGCAAGAGACAAAGGACUGCAAAGACCUUUGGUGAUGAUUUCUUCGUGUACCUCGUGGAUGAUACUCCAACUUCUAUUUCAGAAGCGUAUGCCUCUCCAGAAGCUGACUACUGGAAGGAUGCGGUCCGUAGCGAGAUGGAUUCCAUCAUGGCUAAUGGGACAUGGGAGAUCACCGACCGUCCCUAUGGUUGCAAACCACUGGGAUGUAAGUGGGUGUUCAAGAAAAAGCUUAGGCCCGAUGGUACGAUUGAAAAGUACAAGGCUAGACUUGUGGCCAAGGGCUAUGACCAGAAAGAAGAGGAAGAUUUCUUCGAUACUUAUUCACCUGUGGCUAGACUGACCACCAUUCGAGUAUUACUCUCGUUGGCGGCCUCACAUGGUCUUCUCGUCCACCAAAUGGAUGUCAAGACGGCUUUUCUGAAUGGAGAGCUAAAUGAGGAAAUCUACAUGCAACAACCAGAUGGCUUUGUGAUAGAUGGUCAGGAAAGAAAGGUGUGUAGGUUGCUGAAAUCUCUAUAUGGCCUAAAGCAAGCACCUAAGCAAUGGCAUGAUAAGUUUAAUACAACUCUGACAUCUGUUGGCUUCGUUGUUAAUGAAGCUGACAAAUGUGUAUACUAUCGCCAUGGUGGGGGCGAAGGAGUUAUACUGUGCUUGUAUGUUGAUGACAUACUGAUAUUCGGAACCAACCUCAAAGUCAUUGAGGAGGUUAAGUCCUUUCUGUCUCAGAACUUUGAGAUGAAGGAUCUUGGUGUGGCUGAUGUUAUCUUGAAUAUCAAGCUACUGAGAGAUAAUGAGGGUGGGAUCACACUUCUGCAAUCCCAUUAUGUUGAGAAGGUGUUGAGUCGCUUUGGAUAUUCGGACUGCACACCAUCUCAAACACCAUAUGAUCCUAGCGUGUUGAUUCGAAAGUCCAAAGGCAUGGCUAAAGAUCAAUUGAGAUACUCUCAAAUCAUUGGUUCACUGAUGUACCUAGCGAGCGUAACGAGGCCUGACAUCGCGUUUGCUGUGAGCAAACUGAGCCGGUUUGUUUCCAAACCGGGUGAUGUACAUUGGCAUGCUGUAGAAAGAGUUAUGCGCUAUCUCAAAGGUACUAUGAAUUAUGGACUUCACUAUACCGGAGACCCGUCGGUACUUGAAGGGUAUAGUGAUGCGAAUUGGAUCUCUGAUGCUGAUGAGAUGAAGGCCACAACUGGGUAUAUGUUUACUCUUGGAGGUGGCGCUGUUUCUUGGAAGUCUUGCAAGCAAACGAUCUUAACGAGAUCGACAAUGGAAGCAGAAUUAACAGCAUUAGACACUUCUGGUGUUGAAGCAGGAUGGCUUCGAGAUCUUUUGAUGGACUUGCCACUGGUUGAUAAACCGGUUCCGGCUAUCCUUAUGAACUGUGAUAAUCAGACUGUCAUCACCAAGGUGAAGAGUUCAAAGGACAACAUGAAGUCCAACAAACACAUAAGAAUGAGAUUAAAGGCUGUCAGAAAAUUAAGAAACUCCGGAGUGAUAGCGUUGGACUAUGUCCAUACGGCUAAGAAUCUGGCAGAUCCCUUUACGAAAGGGCUAUCACGUGUAGUGAUAGAUAGUGCAUCGAGGGAGAUGGGUAUGAGACCCACAUGAGUUACCAUGGUGGUAACCCAACCUAUGUGAUCGGAGAUCCCGUGAAGUAGGACCUGGGGAAACAAGCCAGUGGUGAACUGAGGAGAGUAACUUACUAACCCACUCCGUUGGAGAUGCAAUACUCUCGGAAAUUGUACGGAAGGAUGACUAUUGUCUUAAUGUGUUCCAAGGCUUAUAUGUAUAAGCAAGAUGCUAUCCUACAGAGCGAUCUUUAGAGGAACACACCUAUGUGAGCCCGACUGCUAGUCACAGUCUAUGAGAUUGGGGUGAUCUCUAGUAAACUCAUGAAUAGGCCAGGAGUGUGACUUAUAUGCUCCACCCGAGGGGUCAGCCUUCGGCAGCCCAGUACUAGUAAGACAUGUGGUGAAACUUCUUUACGCCAAACUGACAAUUCAAGGCAUAGUCCAUUGUUCAGUUGUGAAGGAAUGUAGCUACUUGCUCUAGGUGAAGCUCAACCUUAACAGGUCUUCACUGAAACACUAGUAUAUCAAAACAGUAUUUGGAACAGAGGACACUAUGGGCCCUCGAGAUCUGGUGGGGGAUUGCUGAAAUCUGAGAAGGGCUCUAGGCCCAUAUUGCAAUUUCUGAAAAAUCUCUAAGGGCCCAUGUGGGUUAUAUGGCACUAGGUGUGUGGGAAGUUUAGUCCCACCUUGGAAGUGGAAGGAGAGUUGGAGUGGUUUAUAAGGGACUCUCUCCCUCAUGCUAUUGGAGCUUGAGAAGAGAUGAGGCCCUCGCACACUCCUCCUCCUCCGCUCGCCUCGCCACGCCACGCCUCGUCACGACGCGCCGCGGGUUGCGGGAUUGAGCCGAGCCGAGCUCACUCCUAUGCGCUUCUUUUUGCCGGUCAGGAACGGAGAGUCUUUGACAGGUGGGGCCACGAUCUAAGACGUCGGAUCGUGGGCUACCGAUUUGGACGUGGGUUCAGCCCACGUCUCUCCACGCGCGGCCGCACAUAUAUAUGUGGGGCGCUGCCAACCCUAGCCGUCAUAAAACAGAACGCAUCUCCGCCUCCACGCCCACGUCGUUCCUCUGCUGCUGCUGCCGCCGGCGACUCCGUCCCGUUCACCGCGUACACGGUUGACGGGAGAGCAGGCCUCCGAAACCACGCCUCUCCGGAUCCUGUACGGGGAGAGGGGCGAUUAGGUUUUUGGGUAGCGACUACGCGACUGCUCGCUUCUGUUCAUCUACGUCCGCAUCACCUUCAUCAUCACCAUGUCGACCGACACCGACCGUGCCGCCGCUGAGAAAGCCGAGGCCGACAAGAAGGCCGCCGAGGAUGCCGCGGCUGCUGUCACCGCCACCGCCACCGCGUGGCCGAUUGGAGGGUAUACAUCGCUUAUCCCUCUCGUGUUUCUUUCUGUUGUAGCAGUACUAGCCGUAUGCGUAGAUGUCUCUACUAUAUGCGUAGUACAUGCUCUGUUAGAUCAUAAUCAGUAUGUUAUCAAUGCUGUCCAUGUCAUGCUCAUGAUUUAUUCAUGGAUUAAUUUAAUCGAAAAACUGCCUAUUUUCUCAUCACUUCCUGGAUAGAACAAUACUUGUAUGAAAGAACUUUUAAUUAUCAUAGGAGAAUAAUAUUUGGUGAAAAGUUUUGGCAUAUUCCAAAUUGACUUUACAUAGUCCUAAAAACAAAUUUGGGGAGUACAACUUGGAAUGAGAAUAACAAUUUAUUAUCUAAAUCAUGGCUUUUUGACUUGACAGUACAUUGCAUUCCACUGGGGAUAGUUCCGUAUGAACAUCCACAUGUUGAGGAAUUUGAAUGAUUGAUUUUGUUCUAACCUAUACAUCUCUAGAGAUUUGGAAACCAAGUCCUGGUUAUAUUGUCCAGUAGCUGUGAAUGCAUCGUCGACCCCGCGCCACAUGCCAUCGAAUAGCAGAAUUUCCGAGCUCAUCUUACCCCAACGGCGUUUGAUUUGGAUAGGUUGUCUUCUUCGGUUAUCGGUGGUAUUUGCGUUAUAUUCUUCAGCGACUUGAUUCCAGUAAUCCCGUGCAGCGUUUUCAUUGCCAAUAACAAAAUCAGUGGGAACAUUUAACCAAGCAUUUACCAACUCAAUUCAGAAAAUGUUGUUAGGCCAAGCUUUUCAUGAUAUAGUAACUACUAAUAAUUAAACAAAUGACUUACCAGGCAUAGAUUAUCCUCUUCGGACCAUUGCAAGUGUAUGUCUCCGAUGUUGGCAUGGCCGAUAUCCAUUGAAAGAUGUGAUGUGUAUGAACAAAAACUUGUAUCAGAUUUGAGUAGGAUUGUGCAAGUGUAUGAGCAGAAAUUUUUGGGAUGGGCGUGGAACUGGAACCUGCAACUAGGACUAUAUAUAACGAGAUAGCUUUACUGCAUGCAUGAUUUAGUUAGGCCGAUUUAACCGUGUAUGACUGAAAGAAUGGUUGAAGUGACUUGACAUAUAUUUUUCUAACUUUAUCUCACCGUGCUUUCAGGUUUUGAGAUUGGGAUCUUUGUCCCUGUUGGACCAGCUUGACAACCACAAGCAUUUCAUUUUUACACCUUUAUUUUGUAUCAAUUCAAUUUUUAUUGUAAGUAUUUAGGUUUCAUGCAGAUUUAUAAUAGAUAAACAAGCUCUAUAGUUUAUUGUAAAUUAUUGUUGUGCGUGAAGAGGAAAGAAAAGGAUUAUUUGUCUGGCUGCAAAACGAAAUCAGCUAAGUUAGUUGAGUAGAGCUGGUUUUUAGUACAACGACCAGCUCAGUUUGUUGAGCAGUUGCCAAUUUGUAGCGCUCUAGGUAGCGCCCGCUGCCAGAUCUGAAUGGAGAAAAAGUCUCGGGUGAGAAAAAUAGGCUAAGCGCUCGGCGACUGGCUCGGCAUCGAUGCCAG
rnacentral:lncRNA from 1 species